AAGUGGGGGUUCGACUAGCCAUGCGAGUCAAUGUUCUUCGUGAACAUGGCGUACUGCGUCAGUAACACGUGGAUAACCUGCCCUUAGGACUGGCAUAACCCCGGGAAACUGGGGAUAAUUCCGGAUAGUUCAUGGUAGCUGGAAUGCUCCAUGAUCGAAAGCUAUUGCGCCUAAGGAUGGGUCUGCGGUCUAUCAGGUAGUAGUGGGUGUAAUGUACCUACUAGCCGACGACGGAUACGGGUUGUGGGAGCAAGAGCCCGGAGAUGGAUUCUGAGACAUGAAUCCAGGCCCUACGGGGCGCAGCAGGCGCGAAAACUUUACAAUGCGGGAAACCGCGAUAAGGGGACACCGAGUGCCAGCAUCUUAUGUUGGCUGUCCGCAUGUAUAAAUCACAUGUGUUAGCAAGGGCCGGGCAAGACCGGUGCCAGCCGCCGCGGUAACACCGGCGGCCCGAGUGGUGGCCACUAUUAUUGGGUCUAAAGGGUCCGUAGCCGGUUUGGUCAGUCUUCCGGGAAAUCUGACGGCUUAACCGUUAGGCUUUCGGGGGAUACUACCAGGCUUGGGACCGGGAGAGGUAAGAGGUACUACGGGGGUAGGAGUGAAAUCUUGUAAUCCUCGUGGGACCACCAGUGGCGAAGGCGUCUUACCAGAACGGGUCCGACGGUGAGGGACGAAAGCUGGGGGCACGAACCGGAUUAGAUACCCGGGUAGUCCCAGCCGUAAACUAUGCUCGCUAGGUGUCAGGGACGGUGCGACCGUUUCUGGUGCCGCAGGGAAGCCGUGAAGCGAGCCACCUGGGA
rnacentral:rRNA from 1 species